rnacentral:rRNA from 1 species
UGGGGAAUUUUGGACAAUGGGGGCAACCCUGAUCCAGCCAUGCCGCGUGCGGGAAGAAGGCCUUCGGGUUGUAAACCGCUUUUAGCCGGGAAGAAAAGGCACUCCUUAAUACGGGGUGUUCUUGACGGUACCGGCGGAAUAAGCACCGGCUAACUACGUGCCAGCAGCCGCGGUAAUACGUAGGGUGCGAGCGUUAAUCGGAAUUACUGGGCGUAAAGCGUGCGCAGGCGGUUCGUUAAGUUCGAUGUGAAAGCCCCGGGCUCAACCUGGGAACUGCAUUGGAAACUGGCGAGCUUGAGUGUGGCAGAGGGGGGUGGAAUUCCGCGUGUAGCAGUGAAAUGCGUAGAGAUGCGGAGGAACACCGAUGGCGAAGGCAGCCCCCUGGGCCAACACUGACGCUCAGGCACGAAAGCGUGGGGAGCAAACAGG